UUUCCGGUUGAUCCCGCCGGACCUGACUGCUAUCGGAUUGAUACUAAGCCAUGCGAGUCUUUGUAGCAAUACAAGGCAGACGGCUCAGUAACGCGUAGUCAACCUACCCUAUGGACGGGAAUAACCUCGGGAAACUGAGUAUAAUGCCCGAUAGAACAUUAUGCCUGGAAGGGUUUAUGUUCCAAAUGAUUUAUCGCCGUAGGAUGGGACUGCGGCCUAUCAGUUUGUUGGUGAGGUAAUGGCCCACCAAGACUAUUACAGGUACGGGCUCUGAGAGGAGUGGCCCGGAGAUGGGUACUGAGACACGGACCCAGGCCCUAUGGGGCGCAGCAGGCGAGAAAACUUUGCAAUGUGCGAAAGCACGACAAGGUUAAUCCGAGUGGUUUCUGCUAAAGGAACCUUUUGUUAGUCCUAGAAACGCUAACGAAUAAGGGGUGGGCAAGUUCUGGUGUCAGCCGCCGCGGUAAAACCAGCACCUCAAGUGGUCAGGAUGAUUAUUGGGCCUAAAGCAUCCGUAGCUUGCUUUGUAAGUUUUCGGUUAAAUCUGUACGCUCAACGUACAGGCCGCCGGGAAUACUGCAGGGCUAGGGAGUGGGAGAGGUAGACGGUACUCGGGAGGAAGUGGUAAAAUGCUUUGAUCUCUCGAUGACCACCUGUGGCGAAGGCGGUCUACCAGAACACGUCCGACGGUGAGGGAUGAAAGCUGGGGGAGCAAACCGGAUUAGAUACCCGGGUAGUCCCAGCUGUAAACUAUGCAAACUCAGUGAUGCAUUGGCUUGUGGCUAAUGCAGUAUUGCAGGGAAGCCGUUAAGUUUGCCGCCUGGGAAGUACGUGCGCAAGUAUGAAACUUAAAGGAAUUGGCGGGGGAGCACCACAAGGGGUGAAGCCUGCGGUUCAAUUGGAGUCAACGCCGGG
rnacentral:rRNA from 1 species